CAAAGGUUAGACGGGCAGAAGGGCUGAAGGAAUCCUCAAGUGUGCCUAGCGCUGGUCAAAGCUAAUCACUGUUAUAGACGGUUUUGCUUCUCUUGUCUCCUGGGCAGGUAAGGUACUGGUGUGACGAGUGAUGGUAUUGGUCAGGAUAUCACCGUACUGUUUUGGUUCUUUUAUAUCUCUAGGGCAGGUAAGGUACUGGUGUGACAAGUGAUGGUAUUGGUCAAGAUAUCACCGUACUGUUUUGGUUCUUUUAUAUCUAUUAGGAAGUCAAUGUACUAUUUAGAGAGGUGUUUCUAGCAGAAUUUUGCCGCACGGUUUUGGUCGUUAAAGGUAGAUAUAUAGAUGUAGAAAAGAGGAUUCAGUUCAGAGUUAAGUUGUUAAAGGUAGAUAUAUAGAUGUAGAAAAGAGGAUUCAGUUCAGAGUUAAGUUGUUAAAGGUAGAUAUAUAGAUGUAGAAAAGAGGAUUCAGUUCAGAGUUAAGUUGUUAAAGGUAGAUAUAUAGAUGUAGAAAAGAGGAUUCAGUUCAGAGUUAAGUUGUUAAAGGUAGAUAUAAAGACGUAGAAAAGAGAAUUCAGUUGAGAGUUAAGUUCAGUGAAGAGUAAAGUGUAUAGUAUUGUUAUAGAGCAUGGAGUCAGCCGUAUAGUUAACCUGCCGGAGAGAGCCACGGUAAGGGAAGGUAACGCGUGGGAAGAGUCGUAGAAACAAAGGUAAAUUAUGAGGUGUGAUGAAAGGGAAAGUGUAGUGAAGGUGUGUUGAGAGGGAGCUUGGCGGAGAAAGCAAUCGUAGUAAUGGAGCGAGGAUCAGCAGGUCUUAGUGACAUUCAUAGGUUGGAAUAUGUGAGGAGGAGUAAGCCUUUCUGUGUGUGUGUGUGUGUGUGUGUGUGUGUGUGUGUGUGUGUGUGUGUGUGUGUGUGUGUGUGUGUUUAUAUGUUCCCAGGCUGUUGUGUGGACCUUCCUUUUGUGUGUGUGUGUGUGUGUGUGUGUGUGU